UGNGCGGCGNUGCCUAACACAUGCAAGUCGAGCGGAGGCGGAGGAAGAUCCAGCGAUGGGUUGGAGACUGCUUUAGCGGCGAACGGGUGAGUAACACGUGGGCAAUCUGCCCUCUGGAGCGGGAUAACAGACCGAAAGGCUUGCUAAUACCGCAUGAGGCCGUACCCUCGCAUGGGGGAACGGUCAAAGGGGAAACCCGCCGGAGGAGGAGCCCGCGUCCCAUUAGCUAGUUGGCGGUGUAACGGACCACCAAGGCGAUGAUGGGUAGCCGGCCUGAGAGGGUGAACGGCCACAUUGGGACUGAGACACGGCCCAGACUCCUACGGGGGGCAGCAGUGAGGGAUUUUCGGCAAUGGGCGAAAGCCUGACCGAGCGACGCCGCGUGAGCGAAGAAGGCCUUCGGGUCGUAAAGCUCUGUCUAGGGGGAAGAGAACGGACGGUACCCCUGGAGGAAGCCACGGCUAACUACGUGCCAGCAGCCGCGGUAAUACGUAGGUGGCGAGCGUUGUCCGGAAUUACUGGGCGUAAAGGGCGCGCAGGCGGUUCGUUAAGUCUGGGGUGAAUCCUUCGGCUCAACCGGAGGGGGACCUGGAUACUGGCGGGCUUGANUGUGGGANAGGNAACGGANUCCACGUGUAACGGUGAANUUAUAGAUAUGUGGAGGAAANCNGUNGGCGAAGGGGGUUCCUGGACAUAACUANNCUNAGGCCNAAAGCGGGGGNNCGAAANGAUNAAUACCUGGUA
rnacentral:rRNA from 1 species